ACUGACUUCUCUACAUCAUGGGGAGCACCUGCAUGUAUGUAUUAUUUUCUACUGGAAGCUUAUAUUUUUGUAAUAUUAGAAUAAUGGGGUUGGAAUAAUUAUUUUCUGGGCAUUAUAGAUCAGGGGUAACACUGGGAGACAGUGAGGGUCUGACAGUGGAAAGAUCGCCUUCAAAUCAGGACCAACUCAUCAUUGACCUCACCACCCCACCAGCCUCCCCCACCCCUACGAGGUCUUCGCCCGCAUUCGGCUCUCUCUGGACUCCAGCUGCCCCUCCACCAUCACCGAGUACUGGGCCAUCUCAUGCAUUCAGCUCUCUUUGGACUCCACACACUGUUGGCGCUGAUCGAAUUGCGGUUGUUCCACCAUCAAGAUUGAACGAUCCUGAAAGAGAGGAAGAGGCUUCAGGAGUUGCAUCUGGGGUUGACCGCGAAGAGGAAGGAGGACAGCAAGCCUCUGCAGAAGACCGGAGCGAAGAUGUGCGCGGUGAGAGGAAUGAGGAAGAUGAUGA